rnacentral:tRNA from 1 species
AACUAUUUUGGCAGAUAAGUGCCUUAGAUUUAGAAUCUAAAUAUGUAAUGAGUAAUUACAAAUAGUA